GACUGUGCUUCGGUGGCCAAGUGGUUAGAGCAUCCACCUUGGAUGUGGGAGGUCGCGGGUUCAAACCCUUGCUGAGUCA